CCGUCGAUAGCUCAGUUGGUAGAGCGGUGGACUGUAGAUCCAUGAAAGGUCGCUGGUUCGAAUCCGGCUCGACGGA